UACGUAGGGUGCGAGCGUUGUCCGGAAUUAUUGGGCGUAAAGAGCUUGUAGGUGGUUUGUCGCGUCUGCUGUGAAAACCCGAGGCUCAACCUCGGGCCUGCAGUGGGUACGGGCAAACUAGAGUGCGGUAGGGGAGAUUGGAAUUCCUGGUGUAGUGGUGGAAUGCGCAGAUAUCAGGAGGAACACCGAUGGCGAAGGCAGAUCUCUGGGCCGUAACUGACGCUGAGGAGCGAAAGCAUGGGGAGCAAACAGG
rnacentral:rRNA from 1 species